CUACGGGGCGCUCCAGUGGGGAAUAUUGCACAAUGGGCGCAAGCCUGAUGCAGCCAUGCCGCGUGUAUGAAGAAGGCCUUCGGGUUGUAAAGUACUUUCAGCGGGGAGGAAGGGAGUAAAGUCAAUACCUUUGCUCAUUGACGUUACCCGCAGAAGAAGCACCGGCUAACUCCGUGCCAGCAGCCGCGGUAAUACGGAGGGUGCAAGCGUUAAUCGGAAUUACUGGGCGUAGAGCGCACGCAGGCGGUUUGUUAAGUCAGAUGUGAAAUCCCCGGGCUCAACCUGGGAACUGCAUCUGAUACUGGCAAGCUUGAGUCUCGUAGAGGGGGGUAGAAUUCCAGGUGUAGCGGUGAAAUGCGUAGAGAUCUGGAGGAAUACCGGUGGCGAAGGCGGCCCCCUGGACGAAGACUGACGCUCAGGUGCGAAAGCGUGGGGAGCAAACAGGAUUAGAUACCCGAGUAGUC
rnacentral:rRNA from 1 species